rnacentral:lncRNA from 1 species
CAUCUUUGUUUGGCACGGCACACCUCAAAUAAUUUUACCCGAAGGAAUUCUAAAUAAAAAAUGAGGGCCACAAACUAUUUACAUUUAUUAUGGCACACCUCUAAUCUACCAUUAAAAGAGAUUCAAGACUAAUUAAUUACAGAACAUAUGGAGUUCUGAUUUAUUCCAGAUCCAAACCUAUACUAUUGGUUUGAUAAAAAUAAAGCAUUAACAAAAGAUCGCCCUUAGUUGACCGCACAAUUGCGCAGCUGAUGAAAGAAGACAUGUUCAAUUGAUUGUUGUUGUGGGCUCAAUACAUGGAAAUACUGGGAUCCAAGUGAAGCCCAACUUGGCGCUCUGAUCAUGGAAGAAGAUUGUGAUUCGCAAUUGGGUCAAUAAUGAUCGCCCGAAACACGAUUCAGCAAAGGCACUAGAAGCAAGAAACGUUUUUAAAGGAGAUCUUGCUGGGAUUUAGUAUUGCUACAAUUUUAAUUUAGAAGCAUCUACACUUUACAUUUCACACACGUGUUCUAAGACAAUUUUAUAUGCAAGGACAUUUCUUUUACACACAUUAGUCAUCAAUGACAAACUCAAAGAAAAACAUUCAUCACUUGUAUUGGAAUCCGAUGCAGCUAUAGCACUUGGAUAAACUUGAAUUUCAAACCAUUUUUAGAGAAAACAUGAUGCGUAGGAACAUGAAACCAGCCAAGGAGACCUACUAAUUCCGUAAUCCAACACCUACAACCAUUUGACAGCCUUAUGGAUUCAUAAGACAAGGACACGAGAGUAAUACUGAUAUUCAACACAGACCCAAGCCCCAACAAUGUGCAUCACACUCAAGUUCUUCUCAUUCGAUAUUGAACCAUUAUAAUUCAGCAUACACAUAUGAUUCAUAGGUUAUUCCUUAAUGACUUCUCUACUUAAAUAUUACAAUCGCUCAGCUGUUAUUUAAUUAUUCUUCCCCUAACACACAUCAUGAAAGCACAUACUAAACUUGUAUUUACAGUUUAACAACAACCCACGUAAAUUCAAUAAUCGGGCAAGCAUUUCUCAAAAUGAGUAAACUAAUUGAUGUAUUUCAACUAACAGUGUUCAACAUGAGACCCCCUUAGAAACAUCAAUUGCAAAAAGUUUUAAUCUACAUUAGAGAUAUAAUAACAAAUUAAGGUCCAAAUACAACAUGAUUCUAACAGUCCAUGAUUUAAUUACAACAUGAAAGCUUAGCUAAUCAAACAGAAACCAACUAAACUACGUUACUAAUCAAAUGACUAAAACAUAAACAUCAUGAAAGGAGCACAGCUGUGACACAAAUAGAACUACUACCAAGAUUUUUACACUGCCUUUAUUCCAUUUCAAAUUGAAGUUUACAUCAAGAAGGAUUCCGAAUUUGUACCUGAAGAUUGAAGGAAAAGAGGUGAAGAAAUAGUAAAAGCAAUAGAAAAAUAGCUCCAGCAAAUUAGCUCAAACCAGAAAUUUGAGAUGAAGUAGUAACAAAAAGCAGUCUCAAUCAAGCUAGAACUUUAACAACUUUAAACCAAGCUUGGAAAACUCAAACUCAAAUCAUUUCAAUAUUAAUUGAAUAAAAAAUUAUCUCAAGAAUUUAACAAAUCCAGGAUUACUGAAGAAAUGCAAUGGAACAGUAUAAGCGCUCAACCAUUUGGGUUUUUCUGUAUUUUUUAUCACCGAAAUCUC